rnacentral:rRNA from 1 species
GACGAACGCUGGCGGCGUGCUUAACACAUGCAAGUCGAACGCUGAAGCUCAGCUUGCUGGGUGGAUGAGUGGCGAACGGGUGAGUAACACGUGAGUAACCUGCCCCCUUCUUUGGGAUAACGCCCGGAAACGGGUGCUAAUACUGGAUAUUCACUGAUCUUUGCAUGGGGGUUGGUGGAAAGGUUUUUUCUGGUGGGGGAUGGGCUCGCGGCCUAUCAGCUUGUUGGUGGGGUGAUGGCCUACCAAGGCUUUGACGGGUAGCCGGCCUGAGAGGGUGACCGGUCACAUUGGGACUGAGAUACGGCCCAGACUCCUACGGGAGGCAGCAGUGGGGAAUAUUGCACAAUGGGCGAAAGCCUGAUGCAGCGACGCCGCGUGAGGGAUGGAGGCCUUCGGGUUGUAAACCUCUUUCGCUCAUGGUCAAGCCGCAACAUUGGUUGUGGUGAGGGUAGUGGGUAAAGAAGCGCCGGCUAACUACGUG